GAUCAUGGCUCAGGAUGAACGCUAGCGACAGGCUUAACACAUGCAAGUCGAGGGGCAGUCACGGGAGUAGCAAUACAACUGGUGGCGACCGGCGCACGGGUGAGUAACGCGUAUGCAACCUACCGUAUCAGAGGGGAAUAACCCGGCGAAAGUCGGACUAAUACCGCAUAAAACAGGGGCACCGCAUGGUGAUAUUGUUAAGAAAUUCGCUGAUAGAUGGGCAUGCGUUCCAUUAGGUAGUUGGUGAGGUAACGGCUCACCAAGCCGACGAUGGAUAGGGGAACUGAGAGGUUGGUCCCCCACACUGGUACUGAGACACGGACCAGACUCCUACGGGAGGCAGCGGUGAGGAAUAUUGGUCAAUGGGCGGGGGCCUGAACCAGCCAAGUCGCGUGAAGGAAGAAGGAUCUAUGGUUCGUAAACUUCUUUUGCAGGGGAAUAAAGUGCAGGACGUGUCCUGUUUUGUAUGUACCCUGAGAAUAAGGAUCGGCUAACUCCGUGCCAGCCGCCGC
rnacentral:rRNA from 1 species